rnacentral:rRNA from 1 species
UGGGAGUCCUCCGUUCCUUCGCGGGUGGCGACCAGCAGCUCUCCGACGGCGACGCAACCCGUCGUCGCUGAGUUCACAGAUCAAAUGCCUGCGGCCCAUCAUCUUGCGGCUUCGAUAUGAUCGACUCGCGUCAGCAAUGGCGGUGAAGUCGCGGAACCUGCGGAAGGAUCAUUAA